UUCAUAGACGUUGGAUGAAGGAAUCUCAUGGUCAUGAUGAGAAUGAGAGUUUUGUAAAUAAUUGAAUGUCGAGGGAAGUUUAUAUAUUACUACAUGCUGCAUUACAGCAUUAGGGGGUAGUGUCGAUAUCAGGAUAAAUCUUUUCCUAUUCCCGAUUGUGUAGGCAUAAUAUCCUCAGUAGGCAACCUGUUUCAUAGAGCCGAUUUGCAAAAGGGUCAAGAUUAUCUUCAUAGUAUCCGAUUUCAUACUGUCGCCUAACGAUUUCAAGUCGUUUUGCGUUCAAUGGUCGAUGAAGAUUUACCAAGAAGAAGCCCUAGGUUAGUGAAGAUGAGUAACGAAGUGCUUAUAUCCAAGAAAAAAAGACAGUCCUACAAUGAGACAGAGACCCGCAUUACUAGGAUGGCCAGCGAUUUGUUGAGACGAAUAUGAGGAUAUCGAGAAAGGGGAUUCGGUAAUUUUGAGAUCAACCAAUCUUUUCAUGGUCCGAUGAAUCUGUUUGCAAAUGGCCGCCCGCUGAUUGAUCUUGUUGCAGUUCUUCCCGACACCCAGCCAACCGAUGUUGAGUGAUAUGAGAAGUGGUAAAAUGAGCAAUGAAGAGAGAUAUGGCAAGUAUUGUGUGAAUGUAACAGCAGCUAUAAGUAGGCAUCCUGAAUCGAUAUCUUUCAAGAACAUUGAUCUAGUUUUCUUUCCCAUUGUGGAAGCUGAACACUUUUAGAGCUGCAUUUGUUGUAAUAGACAACAUGUCAGUCGACAUUUCAUCUGAAACCAAGUAUGGUGUUACUCCUUCAAUAUUGGUUGUGGAAUAUUCGUAAUGCGCCACAUGGAAACUUACAUGGGCCAAUCUGUUGGUCGGUUGGACUAUUUACUAGGUAAAGAGUCGGCGACACAACAUGUGCAGUUGACGCGUUUGAGGUAUAAAUAUGUAGCAAAGAUUUUGUUAUCUGAUAUGAAUAUCUAUCAAGGUAAGGUCAUUGCAUUAGCUGAUACAUUUGAUGGCAUUGACCGUGAAGCCCAGAAGACCAUAACGACAAGAUCUUUGGCUACAUGGAAAGAGAGGACGAAGCUUUUUUUAGGAUAGUGUCGGAAUAAGGAAAGGUUGUUUUGGGUUGUUGAUACAUAUAUAGACAUUGGGGAAAGGUUUUCAUAUGUUGGUUUUGUUGUUUUCCUUUAGAAUUGAAGUAUUAUUCAUAUUGUUCUGAGUGGAUGCACAAUCCCCCUUAAUUCAUAAGUAUUGUUUUUGGAUUCAUAUGUUCUACAUUUAGGAACCUUAAUGUGCAUAUAAAUGUUUUUAUCAAGUCCAGUCACUUCAUUAUAUACGUAAGCUAUUACGUAUUGUUGGCGUUAUAUUAGUUGUGUUAGUUUAGGGUGAAAACGGAUUAUGUAAUAAACAUUCAUCUUAUGU